rnacentral:rRNA from 1 species
GACGAACGCUGGCGGCGUGCUUAACACAUGCAAGUCGAACGGAAAGACCCUGCUUUUGUGGUGUGCUCGAGUGGCGAACGGGUGAGUAACACGUGAGUAACCUGCCCUUGACUUUGGGAUAACUUCAGGAAACUGGGGCUAAUACCGGAUAGGAGCUCCUGCUGCAUGGUGGGGGUUGGAAAGUUUCGGCGGUUGGGGAUGGACUCGCGGCUUAUCAGCUUGUUGGUGGGGUAGUGGCUUACCAAGGCUUUGACGGGUAGCCGGCCUGAGAGGGUGACCGGCCACAUUGGGACUGAGAUACGGCCCAGACUCCUACGGGAGGCAGCAGUGGGGAAUAUUGCACAAUGGGCGGAAGCCUGAUGCAGCAACGCCGCGUGCGGGAUGACGGCCUUCGGGUUGUAAACCGCUUUCGCCUGUGACGAAGCGUGAGUGACGGUAAUGGGUAAAGAAGCACCGGCUAACUACGUG